rnacentral:lncRNA from 1 species
CAUGCAUACCACGUAGAAAACGACGUAGAGAAAUGCACAUGCAGACACACCAACGCACUCUGGCAGCAUGCACCACAGCAUCGGCAUGCAGCCACAUCAGCAACCACAGUCACACGAUACACACACACACGGACACACGGAGCCGUACGCGCGAAAUUAAACUCCCGGCUCUUCAAUUUAUUCCCCUGCUGCAUGCAAAGCAUACUGCUGGCACUGCUGCAGGAGCGUCGUCGAUCAGCUAGCCGAAGAAGUGGUGCUUCUUCUUCCCCUCGCCGCGGCCGUCCUCCUCCUCCUCCUCGGCGUCCUCCGCGGCCUCCUUGGCCUCCUUUUUGCCGUGGUGCUCGUGGAACGCGUACCCGCCGCUGCCCAGCGCCGCCGCCGCCGCCACGCCCUCCUCGAUCUUGUGCCGGUGCGCGUGCUCCGGGUCCUUCUUCGCCUGGUGCUUCUCGUACUGCACCCACACGAUAUCGAUACGCAUGCAUCGAUCGUCAGAAGAAGAAAAAAACAUGUCGUCGGUGCGAGAGUUGCCAAUAAAACUGAUUAAAGUGCGUGACGGACCAAGGCGAAGGCGCCGGCGGCGAGGGCGCCCAUCUCGCCGAGGUGCUCCUUGUGCUUGUGCUCCUUCUCCUCCUUCCUGUACGUCUCCGAGUCGUCCCGGGAGGAGCCGUACUCAUCGUCGCCGGACUUUUUGUUGUACUCGUCGUCGCCGGACUUUUUGUUGUACUCGUCGUCGCCGGAGGACCUGUUGUACCCGCCGCCGCCGCUGUUGUAGUCGUCGGAGCCCGACUUGUUGUACCCGCCGGCGCCGCUGCGGCCGUAGUCGUCGGUGCCGGACUUGUUGUAGCCGCCCUCGUAGUCGUCCGUGCCGCCGCGGCGGCCGGUGUACCCGUCGCCGCCGCUGCGGCCGUAGUCGUCGCCGCCGGACUUGUUGUACCCGUCGCCGUAGCCGCCGUCGCCGCCCGACUUGUUGUAGCCGCCUUCGCCGCGGCCGUAGUCGUCGCCGCCCUCGUAGUCUUCGCCGGCGCCGGACCUGCCGUAGCCGCUGCGGCCGUACUCGUCAGCCAUCUCGAUCGCGUUCGUUACUUGUCACGUUCAGGAGUUUGUUUUCAGUACAGAAGAGUAAGCUGUGGUUGCAGUUGCGCUGUGCCUCC